rnacentral:rRNA from 1 species
GGAGUUAGCCGGUGCUUCUUCUGUGAGUGAUGUCCUUCCUGCCGGUUAUUGACCCGCAGGCCUUCUUCCUCACUGAAAGUGCUUUACAACCCGAAGGCCUUCUUCACACACGCGGCAUGGCUGGAUCAGGGUUGCCCCCAUUGUCCAAUAUUCCCCACUGCUGCCUCCCGUAGGAGUCUGGGCCGUGUCUCAGUCCCAGUGUGGCUGAUCAUCCUCUCAGACCAGCUACGGAUCGUCGCCUUGGUGAGCCGUUACCUCACCAACCAGCUAAUCCGACAUAGGCUCAUCCGAUAGCGCGAGGCCCGAAGGUCCCCCGCUUUCCCCCGUAGGGCGUAUGCGGUAUUAGCCUGGGUUUCCCCAGGUUAUCCCCCGACUACCGGGCAGGAUUCCUAUGCAUUACUCACCCGUCCGCCGCUCGCCACCAGGGAGCAAGCUCCCCGUGCUGCCGCUCGACUUGCAUGUGUUAGGCCUGCCGCCAGCGUUCAAUCUGAGCCAUGAUCAAACUCUGA